rnacentral:lncRNA from 1 species
UUUUAAUCGUCAUGCUACCGGACUAAGACUCCACCAGGUAGGUGAGUUGCAUGAGUUUUUCCGUUGAUAAAGUGCAACAUUGCUCUUGCUGGCUGUAACUACUGCCGUGUGCUCUCAAGACAACAUGGAUUUCGAUUUGGCUUCAGCUGUAGGUAAAGAUGAUCAGGUGAAAAAGGAUGAUGCCUCUGGCCAGGAACAGAACGCCCUAUUUGGAUGGGGGAAGAAGAAGGACAAAGAUGGGGAUAAGUGUGUGUCCAAGGACAAAUCAAAGGACCAUGACAAAUCGAAGGACUGUAAGCACCAUGACAAAUCAAAGGACCAUAAGGAGGACAAAGACAAGUCUAAGGAACAUAAAGACAAGAAACAUGGUGACAAGAAGGACAAAGGUCAUAAGAAGAAGAAAGACAAGAAGCCAAAGGAGCAUAAGGACAAAGAUGAUGGGUCAUCAUCUUCCUCGUCCAGCAGCGAUGAGGAUGAAGGCAAGAAGAAGCAUCACUGAUUCUGGUGCUGUGAGGAAGUGCUACUGCCGGUGAACUCUUACAAUGUUUUGUACUGCAAUGUUGCAUGCAUGAUAUUUACUGUGUACUGUUUCCUUGUUGCUCCUGAUCAUGUUUUGAUGUGCCAGACUGUAAAGUAGUGGUUUUACAACCGAAUAUUAAAUAACCCAACAACCAGGAUAUAUGGUGAAUGUCAGACUUCUUUCCUCCCUAGUAAAAAGUCUAAUGUCCACCAGAAGGGGGAGGUGUUCUUCAUUGAAUGUUUAUUUAAUAGAUUGAAUUCAAUUGCUUUCAAGUUUUUUUUGUUAAAUUGUCC